AAUGGCACUUAAUGAAAGUAUGAUAAACAAAGUAUUAGUAACAUCCUAAUCGAAAUAAUAGUAUGAACGAAAGUCAUGGAUCAGAGGAUCUUUCAUACUUACGUAAUAACAAAGGAAAAAGGAAAGGAGGAAAGAAAAAGGGAGAAAAUAAAAAUGAAGUGGGGAGUGUAUAGGUUCAAUGGCUAGCCAAGGUAAGGUAAGGGAGAGGUUUUGGCAAGUUAAGGGGACAAUGGCAC
rnacentral:lncRNA from 1 species